AUUGAACGCUGGCGGCAGGCAUAACACAUGCAAGUCGAACGAGUGGCGGACGGGUGAGUAAUGUCUGGGAAACUGCGCGAUGGAGGGGGAUAACUACUGGAAACGGUAGCUAAUACCGCAUACCAUCGGAUGUGCCCAGAUGGGAUUAGCUAGUAGGGGGGGGAACGGCUCACCUAGGCGACGAUCCCUAGCUGGUCUGAGAGGAUGACCAGCCACACUGGAACUUAGACACGGUCCAGCCUCCUACGUGAGUCAGCAGUGGGGAAUAUUGCACAAUGGGCGCAAGCCUUAUGCAGCAAUGCCGCUGGUAUGAAGAAGGCCUUCGGGUUUUAAAGUACUUUCAGCGAGGAGGCGUUACUCGCAGAAGAAGCACCGGCUAACUCCGUGCCAGCAGCCGCGGUAAUUC
rnacentral:rRNA from 1 species